GACGAACGCUGGCGGCGUGCUUAACACAUGCAAGUCGAGCGGAAAGGCCACUUCGGUGGUACUCGAGCGGCGAACGGGUGAGUAACACGUGAGUAAUCUGCCCUUGGCUUUGGGAUAGCCACCGGAAACGGUGCUUAAUACCGGAUAUGCACUACUUCUCGCAUGGGUUGUGGUGGAAAGUUUUUCGGCCAGGGAUGUGCUCGCGGCCUAUCAGCUUGAUGGUGAGGUAAUGGCUCACCAUGGCUUCGACGGGUAGCCGGCCUGAGAGGGUGACCGGUCACUCUGGGACUGAGACACGACCGAGACUCCUACGGGAGGCAGCAGUGGGGAAUAUUGGACAAUGGGCGGAAGCCUGAUCCAGCAACGCCGCGUGAGGGAUGACGGCCUUCGGGUUGUAAACCUCUUUCGGUAGGGACGAAGCGAAAGUGACGGUACCUACUAAAGAAGCACCGGCCAACUACGUGCCAGCCGCCGCCGUAAUAC
rnacentral:rRNA from 1 species